ensembl:lncRNA
UCGUCUGUUGCCAGUUCGUCUUUCAGCUGAGGGGUAAGGUAGCAAUCCGACACCGAGCACAAUUGUCAAGGUUAUCACCCAUUCCAUCACUGUUCUCUGUGGGUGCAGAGCAGAAACAGUGUCUGCAGGACAGUGCACCUUGAUAGUACUACACUACACAACACUCACAUAAUUAUUUAGUCUAGUCAUGUAACAAGUAGCACAAGUUGUUAUGUCAGAAUGUGACGCCUUAUAUUUUGGACGAAGGCAAACGUAUGAUUGCUGCCACCAUUCCCCAAACACCCAGUACAAAAAAGGAGUAACAUUUUACCUAAAACUCAAUGGAUGACAAAUUAAAAUGCUCAACUUUUACUAUAGGUUGAUUAACCAAUGUGUUGAAACCUAUGCCACCCAAGACAUAGCAACUGUAUUAUGCAUUCAUUUAUGUAGUAAAAAUCUCCCCAAUUUGGUCAUUUCAUGAGUUAAAGCUAAUGUGUCACCUAAAAGAAGCGCAUAUCAGUUUUUGUCAUAUGAUGAAGACAACAUUUCUUCAACUUGUUCUGCAAAUCCCAUCUCCAACAUUUGGUCCACUUCAUCCAGAACAACGUGUCGAGAGGUCGAGUUUUUUGUUAUGGAGGUGGUCUUUGAUUGGCUCAUAUUUGGUAAUUACGAGAAGCUUUAUAUGAGAUAUAAAGAGUAAAUUAUAAAUUUCUUAUGUAUUUAUCUAUUUAGCACCAGAGGUGCCGACCAGGAUAUCAAUACCACUACGGAUAGCAUCGAUCUGUGGCUUGUAUGAGCUGCCUCCAUAGAAACGGGCUAACCCUCGGGCAUGCGGAUGGAACGCGCCUUCAUUUCCCUGAAACUCUCUCCUGCGGAGAGAAACUACGAUGUGGGGAACCAGGAGCUACUGGCGGUCAAGGUGGCUCUGGAGGAGUGGCAUCAUUGGCUGGACAGGGAAGAACACCCUUUCGUGCUCUGGACGGAUCAUAAGAUCCGGACUGCCAAACGGCUCAGCUCCAGACAGGCCAGGUCAUCCAUUGGGCUCACACCUCCUUUGUCUCUUGCCAUCCCGGAGUACGGCGGACGAUCUUCGUUAUCAGACAACGCUUCUGGUGGCCAUCCAUGGAAAAGGAGGUUGGGGAGUACGUGGCCGCCUGUCCUGUUUGUGCCUGGAACAAGUUCUCCCGAUGCCCACCUCCUGGUCUCCUGCGCCCGCAGAGAGAAGUGGGCUGAUCGCCGGCGCAUCUCGGGUCCCACCUAUCAACCCGGGCAGAGGGUUUGGCUUUCCACCAGGGACCUCCCGCAAGCUGGUGCCCCGGUUUGUGGGUCCUUUUCACAUUUCCAAGGCAUUCAAUCCAGUGGCAGUACGGCUCAGCUUCCCCAGAUCCCUGAGGGUUCACCCCAGUUUCCAUGUGGCGCGAGUCAAGCCUCUUAUGGAGAGUCCUCUCUCCCGUUGAUCACCCGUUUAUCAAACCUGUUUCUUGCAAGUAAAGAUUGGUGUAUCAGAUUUUCCCCCGUGUCUGAGUCGUGCUUUUGAGUCCUAUUCUUUGGGGUUACCACCCGGCGUUACAGGUGUUGGUUUUUAUGGUUGUCAUUAUUGGGAUGUUGCUAUGAUUAUUAGUAUUACAGCCACAUUUCACUUAAAGUUAUUUGAAAUAAUGAAUGUCAUUUCGAAGUCAUCAAACACCAAUCAUCCUGUCAAUACUUAUGUUUGACCUUGUAAAAGCAUGAGAUUGAAAAUCUUAAGUAUAAUGAGCAUUAUCACAAUAAGCAAGCAAUUAGUGACUAUUUGUCAAUUAGUCUGACCUGUUACCAUUGAGAUUUUAAUUUUUCUUUCUUUGCAUGGUUUUCUCUUGUUCCUCCCAACAAAAGUGUUGGAAUCCUGAAUAUGCAGAAGGAAAAUAAACAAAGCUGGCCCCUCCAGGCAUCUAAAAAAGAAACAUUGAACUUCUCUAAUUAAACUGAACUUCCCUUCUGAACAGCGAGCAAGGCUGUGGGAACAUAAUAUUGCCUCCUCGGGUCCUCUCUCAGCCUGAUAUCGGUCUCCUGCAUCAGCUACUCUUCUGGAACA